UACAGAGGUCCCAAGCGUUGUUCGGAUUCACUGGGCGUAAAGGGUGCGUAGGUGGUUAGGUAAGUCCGAUGUGAAAUCUCCAGGCUCAACCUGGAAAUGGCAUUGGAUACUAUCUAGCUUGAGGAGUGGAGGGGGGACUGGAAUUCUCGGUGUAGCAGUGAAAUGCGUAGAUAUCGAGAGGAACACCAGUGGCGAAGGCGAGUCCCUGGACACUUCCUGACACUGAGGCACGAAAGCGUGGGUAGCAAACAGG
rnacentral:rRNA from 1 species